AAAAACCCAAUUCUUGGAUUUCUGCGUCUAACAUUUGACCAUCCGUCUUAUUGUUAGAUGAUAAAACAUGAAUAAUAUUUUAUGCAUGACUUAUCUUUUUAAUUUUUUUCAUAAUUUUUUCAAAUAAGACGGACGGUCAAACGUUAGAUAUGGAAACCAAGGAAUUGAGUUUUU
rfam:Oryza glaberrima chromosome 9 Oglab09_0074_7, whole genome shotgun sequence.